AUUGAACGCUGGCGGCGUGCCUAAUACAUGCAAGUCGAGCGGGAGGCGGACGGGCGAGUAAUGUCUGGAAAAGUGCGUGAGGGAGGGGGAUAACUGCUGGAAACGGUAGCAAAUACCGCAUAACCUGAGAUGGGCUGAGAGGGGAUGAGCUAGUAGGUGGGGUAAUGGCACACCAAGGCGACGAUCCCUAGCUGGUCUGAGAGGAUGACCAGCCACACUGGAACUGAGACACGGUCCAGACUCCUACGGGAGGCAGCAGUGGGGAAUAUUGCACAAUGGGCGAAAGCCUGAUGCAGCCAUGCCGCGUGUGUGAAGAAGGCCUUCGGGUUGUAAAGCACUUUCAGCGAGGAGGCGUUACUCGCAGAAGAAGCACCGGCUAACUCCGUGCCAGCAGCCGCGGUAAUUC
rnacentral:rRNA from 1 species